CAGCCGCCGCGGUAAUACGAAGGGUGCAAGCGUUAAUCGGAAUUACUGGGCGUAAAGCGUGCGUAGGCGGUGAGUUAAGUCUGCUGUGAAAUCCCCGGGCUCAACCUGGGAAUGGCAGUGGAUACUGGCUCGCUAGAGUGUGUCAGAGGAUGGUGGAAUUCCCGGUGUAGCGGUGAAAUGCGUAGAGAUCGGGAGGAACAUCAGUGGCGAAGGCGGCCAUCUGGGACAACACUGACGCUGAGACGCGAAAGCCAGGGGAGCGAACGGGAUUAGAUACCCCCGUAGUCCCUGUCUCUUAUAC
rnacentral:rRNA from 1 species